CUUCCCUGAGCCAGUAACCACGUUCUAGAACUCUGGAGCCCUGUCUAGUGCUUUGUGUAACUUUCUGUCUGUCUUGUAGUUCAAGCUAUAUACUCCAUCAGUAUCUCAGUAAUUAUGCCUGCUAGCACCUGAACCAGCCAGACUGCUACCUGCAGUGUAACCCAUCUGGCCAUCAAGAUGAGCAAGAAAAUUGCUGAGAGGAUGUCCUAUAGAGGGCUGGUCCAUUGGAGGACUCAGAAGCCAUGGGCCCAAACCCGUGUACAAGUGUCUGGCUCCUGAGCAACUCGGAGGACCAUCAUCUCCCCUCUAAAGCAUAAGGAUGCACUCAUGAUCUGCCUGACUCCCAGGAUCACAUGUGUGGUAGUGGACAUUAGCCGGGAUGACUCCAAGGUCCAUUUCAGUUGUUAGUUCGUGGAUGAAGUGGAGGUGCAUACAACUCAGACACAGCUCCCAAAGGAGUGGUACAGCAGCCCCUUCUGUGUGGUUAGUGUCCUCCUCACUUUGCAUCAGAGCUGGCUGGAGGGUAAGGAAUUCAAGUACAAGACCAACAGCAUGGCCCUCCCAGCCCCCACUGAGAAAACCAUUUCCAAAUCCAAAGAUGGCAACAGGUGGGGUGGGCUGUGUGGAGUGUGAUGGACAUCCAGGCAGAGCUGGAGUAGACUGCCCUCCACCUUGACAGUGGCAUAUGUGCUGUUACCUGUCCUCACAGGUGGCUGGCCUUGUGCUGAAGCUUACACCAUGCUUCCACCCCAUAGGAACAGAUAACUAAGAACAGGGUCGUCUGAUACACACGGGGCACGUAUGACUUCCACCUGUGGUGUAGCAAUGGGAAAUAAGAUCAGAAACUAUCAGAGCACCCAUCUCAUCCUGGGCUCCAACGAGCCCUUAUUCCUCUACAGCAAGCUCCUGUGGACAAGAACAGGCAGCAGAAGGGAACUAUUGAC